GGUCCUAGCUAAGUGGAAGAGCGCUUGCCUGCCAUGUGUGAGGUACUGGGUUUGAUUCUCAGCAUCG
rnacentral:tRNA from 1 species